UGGAGCUCAAGGCGGCGCCAGGCGCGGAGCCGCAAAUCCAAGACAGGGCCUCCCCACUCGCCCAGGCUAGGAGCACGGAGGAGACGGAAGGAAGGAGCGGAGCAUCUACCUCCGCAGAGGCCACGUCGCAGUCCGAGUGAACCCAGGCCAGGAACCCAGGACCACAGCCCGCUACUGAGUACGGAAAAUGGACGCCAGCUCCCUAUGCCGAGACUUCCGGUUUUGACGCCGGAAGCGGCAGUUGACUGCGGAAGUAGAUUUGCUGCAGCGUCGCUCUAGACCUCAGCCUGUACGGCUCGAGUCUAUGGUUUUAACUCGUCUCUACACCUCCUUGCGCCUUUCCAGAGCUUCGUUCUAGCGCAAGUGGCUUCUCUCGUCCGGGAGAUAGGGCUUCGUCUUCCCCCGCCCCAGUUGACCCAGGAGCAGAAUGGGAAGAGAUGAGCAGGAAUUCAGAAAGUCUCUGAGGCCACACCCUGGAGCCUCCGUGCCACUCAAGAAAGACAGAAAGGGAUAGUGUACUGUUCCACCGUGGGUGGGGUCACUCCAGCUGAGGCUUGGUGCGGUCUGUUGGACUAGCCCUGUGUCCUACUUUGCUUUCUGUUGCUGUGAUAAACACUGUGAUCUGAAGGAACUUGGAGAGAAAAGAGUUUGUUUCAGCUUACAUGUUACAGUUCACCAUCCAAGGAAGCCAGGACGACAGGAGCAGAAAUCAAGGAGGAACGCUGCUUACUGGUUGCUGGGAAUUGAACCUGGAGCCUGGUUGAUUCUACAAGCCCUCUUUCACCAAGCUGUACCCCAAAAGGAAGACUUGACAGAUGCACAGUUGAUAGGAAUCCCACGAUCUCUCAAGCAUCUGCAUGGGAAAACCUCCGAAGGAAAGACAGAUAACCUUGACCCCUUGCGGCCCCAGCUCCCUGGAAGUCCAAGGACCUCAGGCCCCUCUGGCCCCAGCUCCCUGAGCUGCACAACACAGUGAAUGUCUGUUGUGUAACCAUCCUGGCAGGAAUGAAGAUGUUCUAAAGACAGACUUCUGUGCCCCUCCCGCUGGCUAUCAGAGUAAUAAAGCAAUGGUCUCCAAGGAUUUACAGUUUUCCCAGGAGCCUUGAGCUUGAGGAAGAAAAGGCUGAAGCCUGGUGCCAGCCAAAGGAAGAAUGUGUCUCCCAGAGAGAGAUUUCACACAGUUCUGGCAGCUUGUUAGACUACCGUGCAGAAACACUGGCUCUGAGACAAGGCUGGGCGUGGCCACCUUGACAUGAACCACUUAGUUAUUCGUAUCUCUGAACUCCUGUCAAGGACCCAGUGAUGGACUUGGUGGGGAAUGCUCACUGGACCUCUUGUUCCUUGUUCAUCUUCCUGUUGUGACCACAUUAAAUAAACCUUUCUCUGCUUUUUGCUUUUA